rnacentral:rRNA from 1 species
CACGUAGGGCGCAAGCGUUGUCCGGAAUUAUUGGGCGUAAAGAGCUCGUAGGCGGUCUGUUGCGUCUGCUGUGAAAACUCGGGGCUUAACCCCGAGCCUGCAGUGGAUACGGGCAGACUAGAGGUAGGUAGGGGAGAAUGGAAUUCCCGGUGUAGCGGUGAAAUGCGCAGAUAUCAGGAGGAACACCGGUGGCGAAGGCGGGUCUCUGGGCCGAUACUGACGCUGAGGAGCGAAAGCGUGGGGAGCGAACAGG